rnacentral:rRNA from 1 species
AACGAACGCUGGCGGCAGGCUUAACACAUGCAAGUUGAACGCAUCCUUCGGGGUGAGUGGCAGACGGGUGAGUAACGCGUGGGAACGUGCCCUUCAGUUCGGGAUAACCCAGGGAAACCGGGGCUAAUACCGGAUAACAUUUUGAACCGCAUGGUUCGAAAUUGAAAGGCGGCUUCGGUUGCCACUUAUGGAUGGACCCGCGUCGCAUUAGCUAGUUGGUGAGGUAACGGCUCACCAAGGCAACGAUGCGUAGCCGACCUGAGAGGGUGAUCGGACACACUGGGACUGAGACACGGCCCAGACUCCUACGGGAGGCAGCAGUGGGGAAUUUUGGACAAUGGGGGCAACCCUGAUCCAGCAAUGCCGCGUGAGUGAAGAAGGCCUUCGGGUUGUGAAGCUCUUUUGUCAGGGAAGAAACAGCAGCUCUAACACAGUAUGCGAAUGACGGUACCUGAAGAAUAAGCACCGGCUAACUACGUGCCAGCCGCCGCGGUAA